GACGAACGCUGGCGGCGUGCCUAAUACGUGCAAGUCGAGCGAACGGACGAGAAGCUUGUUUCACUGGUGUUAGCGGCGGACGGGUGAGUAACACGUGGAGAAUCUACCUAUAAGACUGGGACAACUUUGGGAAACCGUAGCUAAUACCGCAUAAUAUCUUUAACCGCAUGGUUUAAAAGUGAAAGACGCAAUUGCAUUAAUCAAUAGAUGGAUCUCCGCUUCAUUGGUUAGUUGGUAAGGUAAGGGCUUACCAAGGCAAGGAUGCAUAGCCGACCGGAGAGGGUGAUCGGCCACACUGGAACUGAGACACGGUCCAGACUCCUACGGGAGGCAGCAGUAGGGAAUCUUCCGCAAUGGGCGAAAGCCUGACGGAGCAGCGCCGCGUGAGUGAUGAAGGUCUUCGGAUCGCAAAACUCUGUUAUUAGGGAAGAACAUAUGUGUAAGUAACUGUGCACAUCUUGACGGUACCUAAUCAGAAAGCCACGGCUAACUACGUG
rnacentral:rRNA from 1 species